rnacentral:rRNA from 1 species
AAGUCGAGGGGCAGCACAGGUGGCAACACCGGGUGGCGACCGGCGUAAGGGUGCGUAACACGUGAGCAACAUACCCGUAUCUGGAGGAUAACCGGAGGAAACUCUGCCUAAUACUCCAUAAGAUCACCAAACGGCAUCGUUUGGUGAUUAAAGAUUAAUCGGACACGGAUUGGCUCGCGGGACAUUAGCUCGUUGGUGAGGUAACGGCUCACCAAGGCCACGAUGUCUAGGGGUUCUGAGAGGAAGGUCCCCCACACUGGAACUGAGACACGGUCCAGACUCC